UGUAGCAGGGCAGGGCUUACUUGAGGGGACAAUAGCGUGUAUAGGCGCGAUGCGGGGCCUUCGGGAUGGAUGUGGUUAGGGUCCUCUCAAA
rfam:Colinus virginianus strain Texas jcf7180006226573, whole genome shotgun sequence.